GCAAACUUGGUCAUUUAGAGGAAGUAAAAGUCGUAACAAGGUUUCCGUAGGUGAACCUGCGGAAGGAUCAUUAUAGAGUGGUAAACCCCCCGUAAAAGGGGGGGACCUCCUGUCCUUUGUAGGCUCCUUUUUUUUUUUAAAGGGCUUUUUUAAAUUUUUCUGCUUCGGUAGGGUUAUCCCACCGGAACAACCUCAAAACUCUGAUCAAAAAAUUGUUCUGUCUGAGGACCUUUUAUAAUUAAAAAAAAACUUUCAACAACGGAUCUCUUGGUUCUGGCAUCGAUGAAGAACGCAGC
rnacentral:misc_RNA from 1 species